rnacentral:rRNA from 1 species
GACUCUCGGCAACGCUCAUCUCGGCUCUCAUAUUGGUGAACAACGUAGUGAAAUGCGAUACUUGAUGUGAAUUGUAGAGUCCCGUGAACCAUCGAGUUUUUGAACGCGAUUUUCAACGAAAGCCGCCCCGCCGAGUGCCCGUCUGACUGGGUGUCAGGC